GCUGGCGGCAGGCCUAACACAUGCAAGUCGAACGGAGUUAUAUUGUAGCUUGCUAUGGUAUAACUUAGUGGCAGACGGGUGAGUAAUGUAUAGGAAUCUACCUAGUAGUACGGAAUAAUUGUUGGAAACGGCAACUAAUACCGUAUACGCCCUACGGGGGAAAAAUUUAUUGCUAUUAGAUGAGCCUAUAUUAGAUUAGCUAGUUGGUGGAGUAAUAGCCUACCAAGGCAAUGAUCUAUAGCUGAUCUGAGAGGAUGAUCAGCCACACUGGAACUGAGAUACGGUCCAGACUCCUACGGGAGGCAGCAGUGGGGAAUAUUGGACAAUGGGCGAAAGCCUGAUCCAGCCAUGCCGCAUGAGUGAAGAAGGCCUUUGGGUUGUAAAGCUCUUUUAGUGAGGAAGAUAAUGACGGUACUCACAGAAGAAGUCCUGGCUAACUCCGUGCCAGCAGCCGCGGUAAUACGGAGAGGGCUAGCGUUAUUCGGAAUUAUUGGGCGUAAAGGGCGCGUAGGCGGAUUAGUAAGUUAAAAGUGAAAUCCCAAGGCUCAACCUUGGAAUUGCUUUUAAAACUGCUAAUCUAGAGAUUGAAAGAGGAUAGAGGAAUUCCUAGUGUAGAGGUGAAAUUCGUAAAUAUUAGGAGGAACACCAGUGGCGAAAGCGUCUAUCUGGUUCAAAUCUGACGCUGAGGCGCGAAGGCGUGGGGAGCAAACAGGGUUAGAUACC
rnacentral:rRNA from 1 species